GACGAACCGUGCGAACGUUAUUCGGAAUCACUGGGCUUAAAGCGCGUGUAGGCGGGUGGGAACGUCGGCCGCUGAAAUCCCCCGGCUCAACCGGGGAAGUGGCGCCGAAACGGCCCGCCUGGAGGAACGUAGGGGGAGCUGGAACUUCCGGUGGAGCGGUGAAAUGCGUUGAGAUCGGAAGGAACGCCCGUGGCGAAAGCGAGCCCCUGGACGUCUACUGACGCUGAGACGCGAAAGCCAGGGGAGCGAACGGG
rnacentral:rRNA from 1 species